rnacentral:tRNA from 1 species
UGGGGUGUGGUUCAGAAGAAGAGCACUCGCCUAGCAUGCAUGAGGCACUGGGUUCAAUCCUCAGCACCACAU